UACGUAGGUGGCAAGCGUUGUCCGGAUUUACUGGGCGUAAAGAGCGCGCAGGCGGUCGUUCAAGUCGCGUGUGAAAGCCCCCGGCUCAACUGGGGAGGGUCACGCGAUACUGAUCGACUCGAAGGCAGGAGAGGGUAGUGGAAUUCCCGGUGUAGUGGUGAAAUGCGUAGAUAUCGGGAGGAACACCAGUGGCGAAGGCGACUACCUGGCCUGUUCUUGACGCUGAGGCGCGAAAGCUAGGGGAGCAAACGGGA
rnacentral:rRNA from 1 species